AGCUGUUCAGAACUCGCAGACACAACUCUGGACUCCUUCCCACCAUAAACUGCACAGCUCCCCAUGGCACAGUUAUGCCUCUUCCUCGUUCUGCUUCUCUAGUUAUUUCUCAGGGUAAGGAAUAAACCAAAGUUUCUCCCACUUCAAUGUUACUGACUGAAUAGACCUCUGCAUGGACACUGGAAGGGACUCCCUCCUGGGUUGGUGCUGGAUGCACCAUGUGACCCAGCCUCUGGCCUCCCUGCACACCAGGAUGCUCCUCGUCUCCACCCAACAUGGUCAAGGAAACAAUGGCCAGCCCCUGUAGGAGCAGAACAGCCCAGCAGCACCCAGCUGCAAGGACCAGGCUCCUUGUACUGCACCCAUCAUCAUGAUAUCCAGUACCAAAUCCCUCUGGGAGAAAACAUCCACCACUGAAAUACAGCCACCUCUGGAGUGGAGCAUGGCAGCAGUUUUAUCGGGCAUGCCAAGACUACAUGAGAAUUUAGGACAGAAGUAAAGAGCACUGUACCCAACUGAAACUGCAGCUCACACUCCAUGCUGCUGCUCUGAACCGGAGACAAAGAAAGAGUCGGAAAGAUUCAAUCUUAGAAGGCCCAUAGCCCACCUGAACGGAGAAACGUGGCUCUCUCACCUGGAGAAUGGCCACACUGCAGCUCCCAUGGAUUCCCCGAGUGAGGGCUCAUCCCACGUACACCCUGCCCCUGGCUCCCGGGGCUCUCCCCUACAGCUUUGUAGGGCAAGAGCUAGAGGCCCUCAUGUUCUGCAGACCUGCCUAUCCAUGGGCUAUUUCCUGGCAUUGCAUUGGGAGCUCUCCAGAACUUAACAGCUCCAUCUUACCAGUUCCUGCCCAUCAGCUUUUUGGCUGCAGGAAAUCAAAGGGGGGAAGGGAGAGAAUACCACUGCCCACACCUGGGAGAUGUGGGUGGGCUGUGACAGGAAAGCCUCUUUCCCCGCAAUCCACAUCAGAAGUGUAGGAACACUUGUGGAGUCAAGUGGAGGGAAGAGUUCAGAGCCACCAAACCCACUGCAAGAGCCACCCAGCCACCGGCAGCUUUUCACUUCAUGAUUUACUACGACCGCGUGCUGCUCCUCCCCGGAGCAGGCGGAAUCUGUCUGCACACAAAGCGAACUGCCUCUGGAAUGCGGCUGCUGCCACGCUAAGAAUGGGGCUCCCCAGGGAGACGGCUUUGCUGAGUUAUGCCAAGCCAGCUGCACGGAGAAGCUGCAGCCGGGAAAGUAACUUCUCAGGUGGCUUUACAGUGCAGUGGAGAUCAGGGUGCCUGCAUCGCGCCCUCGUUACAAGGCCCGAAUGGAGAGAUUUCCAGGAGGAGAAGUUGCUUGGGCAGCUCCCUGGUUCAUUAAGCAUCAUAAUAAACCCUCUUGUCAUAACCCCUACCUGGCUAUUCACGGAGAACCCCUGGGGCCUGAAAGCUGCUCUGGGGGGGAGGGUGGGGGUGUCACCGGCCUAACCGCCUCCCAUAAUCUCUCCACACACACUUGCUUCUAACUGAGCAGGGAGGGGAGAGUCAGUCAGCUCUAGGGAGCCAGUGGGAGGAUUCAAGGAAAGGGCAUGUAGAUGCAGAGGGACAUCACAUGCCCUAAUGCACAGUUAUGCACUCUCACUUCCACAUACACACGCUUGUGCGCAUGCAGACACACACGGGCAGGAGUACUUGCACAGUACCAACGCACACACUACCACAAGUACGUACACACAUGCACCUGAUGUACAAACACACAUGCACGCAAUAUGCUUGUGUGUACACACACACAUGCUCACGCCCAGACUUGUGGACACACACACAUUCCAUGGCUGGGAAUCAAGGCCAGAAUAUUUGAAUAUGUUUUUUUUAAAUGAAUACAAACUUGUGACUGCAUUCGGUUACCCUCUGCUACUGAAACAAUCCCUUCGCCUUUGAAGGCUGCACCACGGUACUGUAGUGAUCACUCACUUCCUUGCAACUCGUGGAACAAGUAAACAGAUGUUGGGUGGCUGGUUAAUCACUUCACCUGUUUGCUACACAUUGCCACAGCUUUAUAGAUAAUAAAAAUCCACUAGCUGAA